AGGAUGAAUGUCCACAUAGAUGGUCUUAGCUUACGCUUAAUAGGGAAGCUCGGUGAAAAUCCGGCACGGACCCGCCACUGUAAGGCACAGCAGCUAUGCAAUAGCAGCGCUGCAGCUGCCGAGUCAGAAAAUCUGCCUGUUUAUGUAACGCUUAA
rnacentral:ncRNA from 22 species